UGGGGAAUUUUCCGCAAUGGGCGAAAGCCUGACGGAGCAAUGCCGCGUGGAGGUGGAAGGCCUACGGGUCGUCAACUUCUUUUCUCGGAGAAGAAACAAUGACGGUAUCUGAGGAAUGAGCAUCGGCUAACUCUGUGCCAG
rnacentral:rRNA from 1 species